rnacentral:rRNA from 1 species
GAUGAACGCUGACAGAAUGCUUAACACAUGCAAGUCAACUUGAACUUCGGUUUGGGUGGCGGACGGGUGAGUAACGCGUAAAGAACUUGCCUCACAGCUAGGGACAACAUUUGGAAACGAAUGCUAAUACCUGAUAUUAUGAUUAUAUGGCAUCGUAUAAUUAUGAAAGCUAUAUGCGCUGUGAGAGAGCUUUGCGUCCCAUUAGCUAGUUGGAGAGGUAACAGCUCACCAAGGCGAUGAUGGGUAGCCGGCCUGAGAGGGUGAUCGGCCACAAGGGGACUGAGACACGGCCCUUACUCCUACGGGAGGCAGCAGUGGGGAAUAUUGGACAAUGGACCGAGAGUCUGAUCCAGCAAUUCUGUGUGCACGAUGAAGUUUUUCGGAAUGUAAAGUGCUUUCAGUUGGGAAGAAAAAAUGACGGUACCAACAGAAGAAGUGACGGCUAAAUACGUG